rnacentral:rRNA from 1 species
UACGUAGGGACCAAGCGUUGUUCGGAUUUACUGGGCGUAAAGGGCGCGUAGGCGGCAAUUCAAGUCAUCUGUGAAAUCUCCGGGCUUAACCCGGAACGGUCAGGUGAUACUGUUUUGCUAGAGUGCGGAAGGGGCAAUCGGAAUUCUCGGUGUAGCGGUGAAAUGCGUAGAUAUCGAGAGGAACACCAGAGGUGAAGGCGGGUUGCUGGGCCGACACUGACGCUGACAGCGCGAAAGCCAGGGGAGCAAACGGG